AUGCUAUGCGGCUACAGAGUUUCAGAAACUGUAAGCCUAAAUGCCGUUUCUUCAUGUGGCGAUGGCUUUGGGAGAGAAACCUCACCACCGACAACCUGCAAAAGAGAGGUUGGCCAGACAAUGGGGAGUGUAACCUUUGCGAUCGAGAGGAAGAAACCCCAGAAUGACUCCAGAUGCUCCCAGGCAUCUUGGUGGCAUGAUGUUGCCUCCCUGCUCCCCAAAUACCACACUUCAGUGGCAAUCUAUGGUUCUUGGCACAUCUGGAAAGAGCGGAAUUGGCGUGUUUUUGACAACUCCUCCUGCACUGCCGAGCAGGUUCUCGGCAUGAUCAAGGCUGUUAUGGUAGAGGCUCAUUCCUGCAUCACAUGGGACACCUUUGGCGAAAAUGAGCCGGAUCCAGAACCGGAUUAG
rnacentral:rRNA from 1 species